AUGCAGUCCACUAGAUUUGUUCCAUACCACUCUCCAUCACAACCAAUGAACAAUGUGCUGCUAAUCACUGAGACUGAUGCACUUCUGGUGGUGCAAGGCCUCAACAAACGUUUGAUAGACUGCCCAUGGAGGCCCAGUGAUAUAGGAUAUCAACUCCAGUCUAAGCUGUCAUUCUCUGAAUGCAUGAUUGUCCACUGUAAGCGAGACUAUGCUAAUUCUGCUGCUCAUGCUCUAGUGCAACUUGGCCUCAGUGCUCCAUCUGAUUUAACCCUUGCAUGGGAUGAUGAUGUACCGACGCACAUUGCUGGAAUUGUAAGGGCCAACAAUGCCCAUACCGUUUCGUAA
rnacentral:rRNA from 1 species